GAUGAAGAACGUAGCGAAAUGCGAUAAGUAAUGUGAAUUGCAGAAUUCAGUGAAUCAUCGAAUCUUUGAACGCACAUUGCGCCCCCUGGUAUUCCGGGGGGCAUGCCUGUCCGAGCGUCAUUACAACCCUCAAGCUCAGCUUGGUGUUGGGCCCCGCCGCCCCGGCGGGCCCUAAAGUCAGUGGCGGUGCCGUCCGGCUCCGAGCGUAGUAAUUCUUCUCGCUCUGGAGGCCCGGCCGCGUGCCCGCCAGCAACCCCCAAUUUUUUUCAGGUUGACCUCGGAUCAGGUAGGGAUACCCGCUGAACUUAAGCAUAUCAUAAGCGGAGGA
rnacentral:misc_RNA from 1 species